rnacentral:siRNA from 1 species
UGUUAUGGGCAAUGGAAUGCA